GUGUUGACAACAGAGGGCUCUGCAUUUACGUGGGAUGUGGGAUGUGGCAUGAACUAAACUACUAAACAAGACCACGCUGGUGCAGUUAUGUAUUAUCGGGAUUUUUCCAGCUGCUGGAGGGUGGCAGGCAGUAGGAAUAGGAAUCAAUAAUUUAUCUUGGCACGUCAAAUUUAAAGAGCUAGGAAAAUGACUAAGAAACAAAAAAGAAGUGUAGCAGCCGUUGCUCAUGAAAUAUCUGACGAAGAGAUAGUUGAGCAGCCUAUUCCGCAGAAGAAAUCAAAGAAGAAAGUCAAAGUGGACAUUCCAAUAUUUUCAACAGAUGAUAUCGAUGACUUAAUUGUUUCUGAAAGAUCGGUCUUUCCGACUGAUUUGAAGCAACGACACCCUCUCUUUGGAGCAGAUUACAAAAAGAGGUGUAGUCUUUCUGGGUUAUGUCGCUAUCCGCAAAGGGAUACUAGUGUUAUUGCUACCAAGGAACGCAAGAAAAAGCGUGUCAAAGAUGAGUCAAUGGAUUGCGAGGAAGUUAGCGACUGUGAACAAAAUAUAGGUCUUGACACCACAUCCACACACUUGACGGAUUUACCAUCAAAGAAGAGAAAGAAAAAAUGGACUGUUUCUUGAAUUUAAGUUGUGAGUAAAACGCAUAAAUGAUAAUUUU